rnacentral:rRNA from 1 species
GAUCCUGGCUCAGGAUGAACGCUAGCUACAGGCUUAACACAUGCAAGUCGAACGGUAACAUGAAGAAGCUUGCUUCUUUGAUGACGAGUGGCGGACGGGUGAGUAAUGCUUGGGAAUCUAGCUUAUGGAGGGGGAUAACUACGGGAAACUGUAGCUAAUACCGCGUAGUAUCGGAAGAUGAAAGUGUGGGACCUUCGGGCCACAUGCCAUAGGAUGAGCCCAAGUGGGAUUAGGUAGUUGG